GUGCACUCCUUCCCUGCCCAAUCGUUUCACAGAUGUUAAGAGAUCGACAUGGUGCCUUUAUCCGGAUGGAGAAGCAAAGGAAAGAGGAUGCAGCUGAUCAGAAAAGACGAAAUUAGUGUUAGAAGCCGAUUCACAGGUCUACAGUAUGCAACAUUUUUUGUUUGGAUUGGAGCCCUAGCACCCUUUGCAGAUGACCCUUCAACUUGCUGAAAUAUCAUCUGUUUACUGCCUGAGAUCCGGAGCACAACAAACACUUAACAAAGGGUUAAUCUCCGUAAGAACCCAGAACAUGCUCUACUGAAUGUCCCGAUACCGGAAAUCACAAAGGGGAAGCGGAAACUUAUCUACCUCAUUAUCUACCUCAUUUUUCUAGCUGCCAAAAUUGCAAUAGCUAUGAGCUGGGCGACUCAAUCUAUUUUCUCCAUCUGGUUGGAUCCAAACUAAAUUGGAUAAUGGCCAAUAACAA